rnacentral:lncRNA from 1 species
UGAACAUCUAUUGUAUGUUUUGGUGGUCUGAUGAUAGGACUUCUAAGACUUUAUAUCAUCUACAAGGUGGCGUUGAACACCCAGAGUCUCAAGACGAGCAGUUUGCAGGACGAGCUCGAUGGGACAGGGAGGACCUGGGAAAGGGACAUGUCAGACUCCACCUGUCCAGACUCAGGAUCAACGACUCCGGCAUUUACCGAUGUGAAGUGUUCACUGAAGAUAAUGAUGAUGAUGGGGGUUUCAGUGAGUGCUUGCUCAACGUCACUGCUGCAAAACACCUGCCAGAAGAGCCAAAGGAGGGAGAAGAUGGAGCGGCCGUCAACAUCGGAGUUGUGAUUGGAGCUGUGAUCGGUUCUCUUGUAGUUCUCGUAGUUCUUCUCAUGGUGGUGAUAUUCGUUUGUGGACUCGCUUAGAAGCACAAGACACACCGGGACCUGCCUGUGCUGAGUUCCACCAUGUUCCUGUGACUUGAAAAGAAACUGUUCCUUGAGUCCUGCUGCUCCAUGAGGGAACAGGCACUCCACAGAUGAUUGGUGUUUUUUGUCCACAAAGCAGAGACAUCGGAACUGAGGAGGUGGGAGGAACAUGGAUCAGGCUGUCCAUCCAUACAACAUCACAUUACAGCUGCUCUCAGUAGAUUAAAGGGUAAUUCCGGUAUUUUUCAACCUGGAUCCUAUUUUUGGGGUCCACAUGACUGAUAGGAAAACAUUUUUGAAAUUGGUCCAGAAAUCAGUGUCAUCUUGUCAAGUGUGACAAGACAAAACUGAUUUGACAGCCAGAAGAUGAUACCACAGAUACUGGCGUGUAUUUUUGGUAUCUCACUGGCUUAACCAGCCUCUACCUCUGCAGCCAAUGAAGGAAGACUUGUGCCUUGAAAGGUAAUAUUUCUUCAGGCCUCAGAAACACAAAUGUAUGCACCUUGUUCCCUAUCAGGCAC